rnacentral:rRNA from 1 species
UUAAGCGACUAAGCGUACACGGUGGAUGCCCUGGCAGUCAGAGGCGAUGAAGGACGUGCUAAUCUGCGAAAAGCGUCGGUAAGGUGAUAUGAACCGUUACAGCCGGCGAUGUCCGAAUGGGGAAACCCAGUGUGAUUCGUCACACUAUCGUUAACUGAAUACAUAGGUUAACGAGGCGAACCGGGGGAACUGAAACAUCUAAGUACCCCGAGGAAAAGAAAUCAACCGAGAUUCCCCCAGUAGCGGCGAGCGAACGGGGAGCAGCCCAGAGUCUGAAUCAGCUUGUGUGUUAGUGGAACGGUCUGGAAAGUCCGACGGUACAGGGUGAUAGUCCCGUACACCAAAAUGCACAGGCUGUGAACUCGAAGAGUAGGGCGGGACACGUGGUAUCCUGUCUGAAUAUGGGGGGACCAUCCUCCAAGGCUAAAUACUCCUGACUGACCGAUAGUGAACCAGUACCGUGAGGGAAAGGCGAAAAGAACCCCGGCGAGGGGAGUGAAAAAGAACCUGAAACCGUGUACGUACAAGCAGUGGGAGCACCUUCGGGUGUGACUGCGUACCUUUUGUAUAAUGGGUCAGCGACUUAUAUUCUGUAGCAAGGUUAACCGUAUAGGGGAGCCGCAGGGAAACCGAGUCUUAACUGGGCGUUAAGUUGCAGGGUAUAGACCCGAAACCCGGUGAUCUAGCCAUGGGCAGGUUGAAGGUUGGGUAACACUAACUGGAGGACCGAACCGACUAAUGUUGAAAAAUUAGCGGAUGACUUGUGGCUGGGGGUGAAAGGCCAAUCAAACCGGGAGAUAGCUGGUUCUCCCCGAAAGCUAUUUAGGUAGCGCCUCGUGAAUUCAUCUUCGGGGGUAGAGCACUGUUUCGGCUAGGGGGUCAUCCCGACUUACCAACCCGAUGCAAACUACGAAUACCGAAGAAUGUUAUCACGGGAGACACACGGCGGGUGCUAACGUCCGUCGUGAAGAGGGAAACAACCCAGACCGCCAGCUAAGGUCCCAAAGUCAUGGUUAAGUGGGAAACGAUGUGGGAAGGCACAGACAGCCAGGAUGUUGGCUUAGAAGCAGCCAUCAUUUAAAGAAAGCGUAAUAGCUCACUGGUCGAGUCGGCCUGCGCGGAAGAUGUAACGGGGCUAAACCAUGCACCGAAGCUGCGGCAGCGACACUAUGUGUUGUUGGGUAGGGGAGCGUUCUGUAAGCCUGCGAAGGUGACCUGUGAGGGUUGCUGGAGGUAUCAGAAGUGCGAAUGCUGACAUAAGUAACGAUAAAGCGGGUGAAAAGCCCGCUCGCCGGAAGACCAAGGGUUCCUGUCCAACGUUAAUCGGGGCAGGGUGAGUCGACCCCUAAGGCGAGGCCGAAAGGCGUAGUCGAUGGGAAACAGGUUAAUAUUCCUGUACUUGGUGUUACUGCGAAGGGGGGACGGAGAAGGCUAUGUUAGCCGGGCGACGGUUGUCCCGGUUUAAGCAUGUAGGCUGGUUAUCCAGGCAAAUCCGGAUAAUCAAGGCUGAGGUGUGAUGACGAGGCACUACGGUGCUGAAGUAACAAAUGCCCUGCUUCCAGGAAAAGCCUCUAAGCAUCAGGUAACAUCAAAUCGUACCCCAAACCGACACAGGUGGUCAGGUAGAGAAUACCAAGGCGCUUGAGAGAACUCGGGUGAAGGAACUAGGCAAAAUGGUGCCGUAACUUCGGGAGAAGGCACGCUGGUGUGUAGGUGAAGUCCCUGCGGAUGGAGCUGAGACCAGUCGAAGAUACCAGCUGGCUGCAACUGUUUAUUAAAAACACAGCACUGUGCAAACACGAAAGUGGACGUAUACGGUGUGACGCCUGCCCGGUGCCGGAAGGUUAAUUGAUGGGGUUAUCCGUAAGGAGAAGCUCUUGAUCGAAGCCCCGGUAAACGGCGGCCGUAACUAUAACGGUCCUAAGGUAGCGAAAUUCCUUGUCGGGUAAGUUCCGACCUGCACGAAUGGCGUAAUGAUGGCCAGGCUGUCUCCACCCGAGACUCAGUGAAAUUGAACUCGCUGUGAAGAUGCAGUGUACCCGCGGCAAGACGGAAAGACCCCGUGAACCUUUACUAUAGCUUGACACUGAACAUUGAGCCUUGAUGUGUAGGAUAGGUGGGAGGCUUUGAAGCGUGGACGCCAGUCUGCGUGGAGCCAACCUUGAAAUACCACCCUUUAAUGUUUGAUGUUCUAACGUUGGCCCCUUACCGGGGUUGCGGACAGUGUCUGGUGGGUAGUUUGACUGGGGCGGUCUCCUCCCAAAGCGUAACGGAGGAGCACGAAGGUUAGCUAAUCCUGGUCGGACAUCAGGAGGUUAGUGCAAUGGCAUAAGCUAGCUUGACUGCGAGCGUGACGGCGCGAGCAGGUGCGAAAGCAGGUCAUAGUGAUCCGGUGGUUCUGAAUGGAAGGGCCAUCGCUCAACGGAUAAAAGGUACUCCGGGGAUAACAGGCUGAUACCGCCCAAGAGUUCAUAUCGACGGCGGUGUUUGGCACCUCGAUGUCGGCUCAUCACAUCCUGGGGCUGAAGUAGGUCCCAAGGGUAUGGCUGUUCGCCAUUUAAAGUGGUACGCGAGCUGGGUUUAGAACGUCGUGAGACAGUUCGGUCCCUAUCUGCCGUGGGCGCUGGAGAAUUGAGGGGGGCUGCUCCUAGUACGAGAGGACCGGAGUGGACGCAUCACUGGUGUUCGGGUUGUCAUGCCAAUGGCACUGCCCGGUAGCUAAAUGCGGAAGAGAUAAGUGCUGAAAGCAUCUAAGCACGAAACUUGCCCCGAGAUGAGUUCUCCCUGAGACUUUAAGUCUCCUGAAGGAACGUUGAAGACGACGACGUUGAUAGGCCGGGUGUGUAAGCGCAGCGAUGCGUUGAGCUAACCGGUACUAAUGAACCGUGAGGCUUAACCUU